UACAGAGGUGGCAAGCGUUGUUCGGAAUUACUGGGCGUAAAGCGUGCGCAGGCGGUUCGUUGUGUCGGUGGUGAAAGCCCCGGGCUUAACCUGGGAAUGGCCAUGGAAACUGGCGAACUGGAGUGUGGCAGAGGGGGGUGGAAUUCCGCGUGUAGCAGUGAAAUGCGUAGAGAUGCGGAGGAACACCGAUGGCGAAGGCAGCCCCCUGGGCUAGCACUGACGCUCAUGCACGAAAGCGUGGGGAGCAAACAGG
rnacentral:rRNA from 1 species